CGUGCGAAGAACCAAUCGUCGGUUUCGAGCGGUUGGAAUCAUACGUUAAGAGAAAACCUCCGGUUCACCACUUUCCACCAUUCGAAGCCUACUCCUUCAAGCGGCAAAAAUACAUUUAACCCAUGUACAUUUCGCAGUAACAGUGGUACUUUCCACGAUUAACGACUACCUGACUCUACUUUCAUAGCCUUUUAUGGAUCUUCUCCGUUACUCCGCCUCCCGCUUCCCUGCAGCUCAUCCUCAGUAUCCCUUCCAUACGCCGCUUCGCCGGCGCUUCGUCGCCGUUAGGUCGAGUUUGAGCCUUCCGUUCCCGGAGCAGAAAGCCAAGUAUUAUAGGGAGCUGGAAGCUGCUGUAGAUGUUGUCGAGCGAGCUUGUCGUCUGUGCGUUGAUGUUUCUCAAUCAUUUUAUGUAGUUUCAUGGCUAAUGCACAUCGCUAAAGUGAUAACUUGUUUUGAGGUGAAGAAAUCGUUGUUCUCAAGUAAUGGUAGGAUUCUUGAGAAAAUUGACCAGACCCCAGUCACUAUUGCAGAUUUUGGAGUGCAGGCUUUAGUUAGCUUGGAGAUGAACAGACUUUUUCCCUCUAUCCCCCUGGUGGCUGAAGAGGACUCUGCAUUCUUGCGUUCAAAUAAUCUAGUUGGCUCAGUGGUUGAUGUUGUAAAGGAUAAAGCAACUUCAGGAUAUGAAGUAACAGAUGAUAAUAUUUUGAAAGCAAUUGACAGAGGGGGAAAGGAUGCUUGUGUAUUUGGGCCUAAACCAGCCACUUACUGGAUACUGGAUCCUAUUGAUGGUACACGAGGGUUUGUUAAAGGUAGCGAGGCUCUCUAUGUGGUGGGUUUGGCACUUGUAGUUGAAGGACAGAUUGUUUUGGGGGUCAUGGGCUGCCCCAAUUGGUGCGAAGACUGUUCUGAGAAUUCUAUCGUUGGGGUCCAAGAAAGUAGUAGUUCCAGAUCAGGGAUCAUCAUGGUUUCUCAUGUGGGUUGUGGAACAUGGACAAAGAGGUUGUCAGACAUACUAACCACUGAGUCAUCUCACACUUGGACCGGAUGCUCUGUUGACAGCUGCCAAAUGGUGGAGGGGGCACGGUUUACUAUUCCUGAAAGUCAAUCAUGGAAAUCAUUACCCCUAUCGGUUUUGUUUGAUGCAAAAAGAGACUCAGAGAACAUAGGAAAAGGGAAAAUACUUCUUCUGUCUGCAUGCUGUGGGAGUUUACAGUUUGUGCAAAUAUCUGAUGGUGGCUUCUGGUAGAGCAUCGGUUUACAUUCAGGGAAGGAAGGCGACAUCUAUUAUCAAGGUCUGGGACCAUGCUGUUGGAAUCAUAUGUGUCCAUGAAGCUGGAGGGAAGGUGACCGACUGGGCAGGAGGUUCACUUGAUAUUGCGGCAGAUCAAACUGAACGGAGACUAAUCUUUCCUUCAGGCGGUGUUCUUGUGACUAAUGGGAGCUUACACAGCAAGAUUAUUGGAAUGAUCUCUUCAAAUUCGUCAGUUCUAUGACAGGCAUUUGACAUUAAUUGACAGAUUAUAAAAAUACUGAGAUACUAAGGACGAUUCUGCCAAUUCAUCAAUUGUUUCAUGGCACUUGCAUUCUUUCGACAAAUCAGAGCAGACAUUAAUUUGUCUCCAUUUUCUUCCACCUGGCGGUCAUCAGUAUCUCUUUAUUUUCUUUUUCAUCAAUACUUGCUUUUUUAUUCUUUCGGUCUCAAAUGGCUUACAUACGGAUAACGUCCUCCAAUUAGUGAAAUGCUGUGGUCUGUGGAGAAUGAUUCUUAUGUACUGCAGUAAGAAAUUUUAUUCUUUUCUUCACAAGGUACAAUGAUGAAGUGAAGAUUUUUCUCCUUUCA